GAAAAGUUUUGCAUUGAUAAAUGGAAUAGGUUGACAAGUCUAGAUGGCUCAUUCGAUUGUUUUUGAGCCCGAAGUAAUGAUCAAAAGAGACAGGCGGGGGCGUUUGUAUGGCUGCGCUAGAGGUGAAAUUCAUGGACCGUAGCCAGACAAACUAAAGCGAAGGCAUUCGUCAAGCAUGUUUUCAUU
rnacentral:rRNA from 1 species